UUCUUGUCCAUAGGUUUUGGUGUCUCUUCCUUCACACGUAUCUUUCACCUGCACAGCAAACAUUUGUUUUAUUUUUCACAAGAAAACACUAUAAUGUAAUACCUAUUACAUUUCACGUAUCUAUGAUUAUUUGCAAACUUGUAUUUAUAAAGAUAUAAACCUAUAGUCGACGAGAAGCAUGUCUUUUAUCAGUCCAGAUUUGUUCAGCGAUAUGAUCUCGCACAAUCUUCAUAUAAACUCGUGCCGAUGUGUUUUGGUUCACUUGUUCAUCACUCUCAUCAUCUGAAUGAUUGUUCACAUUCGAAUGUGAAUGAGUAGUGUCCCCCCCACAUCAAAUUCUUCGAAGUCAAUAUCUUUAAUUUUGUUCCAACGAAUAAAGUUGUGGAGCCCCAUUGUUGCAAAUAUAACCUUUCUUUGCGUUGAGAUAUCAUACCUUUCUUCACGUAUAUCAGCAUCAUUCUUUAACAAUUUAUUUGCCGCCCAC
rnacentral:lncRNA from 1 species